GAGUUUGAUCCUGGCUCAGAUUGAACGCUGGCGGCAUGCCUUACACAUGCAAGUCGAACGGCAGCAUGAUCUAGCUUGCUAGAUUGAUGGCGAGUGGCGAACGGGUGAGUAAUACAUCGGAACGUGCCCUGUAGUGGGGGAUAACUAGUCGAAAGAUUAGCUAAUACCGCAUACGACCUGAGGGUGAAAGUGGGGGACCGCAAGGCCUCAUGCUAUAGGAGCGGCCGAUGUCUGAUUAGCUAGUUGGUGGGGUAAAGGGCCCACCAAGGCGACGAUCAGUAGCUGGUCUGAGAGGACGAUCAGCCACACUGGGACUGAGACACGGCCCAGACUCCUACGGGAGGCAGCAGUGGGGAAUUUUGGACAAUGGGCGAAAGCCUGAUCCAGCAAUGCCGCGUGUGUGAGAAGGCCUCGG
rnacentral:rRNA from 1 species